UACGUAGGCAGCAAGCGUUGUUCGGAAUUACUGGGCGUAAAGAGUGCGUAGGCGGUUAGGUAAGUCCGUUGUGAAAUCUCCCGGCUCAACUGGGAGGGUGCAGCGGAAACUGCCUGGCUAGAGUGUGGGAGAGGGAAGUGGAAUUCCUGGUGUAGCGGUGAAAUGCGUAGAUAUCAGGAGGAACACCUGCGGUGUAGACGGCUUCCUGGACCACUACUGACGCUGAGGCACGAAAGCGUGGGGAGCAAACAGG
rnacentral:rRNA from 1 species